CAGCUAGAGAGCGGAGGAUCAUGGAGCGCUCUUCUUCUUCCAUGGCACACGGUGUUGCCCUCCUGGCGCUCAUCUGCUGUUGGUUAGCAUGCUCGGCGGCGGCCCAAGUUGUUCCGGACGGACGCCGUGAGCCAAGGGCUCCGCCGUCGCCACUGCCUGGGAACCAGAACCCGGUGGAGGCUCCAGCUGAGAUUGCGUCGCCACCACCGCCUAUGGACACAACCGCGCUUGCGCCGCACCGCAAGACCCUGCAGCAGGCUGUUUCGAGCGUUCAUCAUGUAUGAAGCACUGUCGCUCCGAUAUGUUCUUGUCUAUGCAUGUACGGUUCUUGGUGAUGAGGAUUGUUUGCUGUGUUGGCGACUGAAACCAUUAAUAACAGACAAAAAAAUCGAACAGCCCAAGAAGUUCGGUGAGGCAGUCCAACUUGUAAAAUUUUCUUUGUACACAUUGAAUAGCUAAAGGAUCAAAUUCGUUUA